rnacentral:rRNA from 1 species
GACGAACGCUGGCGGCGUGCCUAAUACAUGCAAGUAGAACGCACAGUUUAUACCGUAGCUUGCUACACCAUAGACUGUGAGUUGCGAACGGGUGAGUAACGCGUAGGUAACCUGCCUGGUAGCGGGGGAUAACUAUUGGAAACGAUAGCUAAUACCGCAUAAUAUUGAUUAUUGCAUGAUAAUUGAUUGAAAGAUGCUAUUGCAUCACUACCAGAUGGACCUGCGUUGUAUUAGCUAGUAGGUGAGGUAACGGCUCACCUAGGCGACGAUACAUAGCCGACCUGAGAGGGUGAUCGGCCACACUGGGACGGAGACACGGCCCAGACUCCUACGGGAGGCAGCAGGAGGGAAUCUUCGGCAAUGGACGAAAGUCUGACCGAGCAACGCCGCGUGAGUGAAGAAGGGUGUCGGAUCGUAAAGCUCUGUUGUAAGAGAAGAACGGGUGUGAGAGUGGAAAGUUCACACUGUGACGGUAUCUGACCAGAAAGGGACGGCUAACUACGUG